GAGUUUGAUCGUGGCUCAGGAUAAACGCUGGCGGCGCACAUAAGACAUGCAAGUCGAACGAACUUAAUUUUAAUAUUUAUAUUAAAAAGCGGUUAGUGGCGGACUGGUGAGUAACGCGUAAGCAAUCUGCCUAUCAGAGGGGAAUAACAGUGAGAAAUCAUUGCUAAUACCGCAUAUGCCAUAAGAAUCACAUGAUUCUAGUGGGAAAGGAGCAAUCCACUGAUAGAUGAGCUUGCGUCUGAUUAGCUAGUUGGUGGGAUAACGGCCUACCAAGGCGACGAUCAGUAGCCGGACUGAGAGGUUGAACGGCCACAUUGGGACUGAGAUACGGCCCAGACUCCUACGGGAGGCAGCAGUCGGGAAUAUUGCGCAAUGGAGGAAACUCUGACGCAGUGACGCCGCGUAUAGGAAGAAGGUUUUCGGAUUGUAAACUAUUGUCGUUAGGGAAGAUAAAAAGACAGUACCUAAGGAGGAAGCUCCGGCUAACUACGUGCCAGCCGCCGCCGUAAC
rnacentral:rRNA from 1 species